GGGGGUUAGCGUUGUUCGGAAUUACUGGGCGUAAAGCGCGCGUAGGCGGAUCGGAAAGUUGGGGGUGAAAUCCCCGGGGCUCAACCCCGGAACUGCCUCCAAAACUAUCGGUCUAGAGUUCGAGAGAGGUGAGUGGAAUUCCGAGUGUAGAGGUGAAAUUCGUAGAUAUUCGGAGGAACACCAGUGGCGAAGGCGGCUCACUGGCUCGAUACUGACGCUGAGGUGCGAAAGUGUGGGGAGCAAACAGGAUUAGAUACCCUGGUAGUCCACACCGUAAACGAUGAAUGCCAGACGUCAGCAAGCAUGCUUGUUGGUGUCACACCUAACGGAUUAAGCAUUCCGCCUGGGGAGUACGGUCGCAAGAUUAAAACUCAAAUGAAUUGACGGGGGCCCGCACAAGCGGUGGAGCAUGUGGUUUAAUUCGAUGCAACGCGAAGAACCUUACCAACCCUUGACAUUUAGUGACAACUCCAGAGAUGGAGCCUUCCUUCGGGACACUAGGACAGGUGCUGCAUGGCU
rnacentral:rRNA from 1 species